rnacentral:rRNA from 1 species
UCCUACGGGGGGCAGCAGUGAGGAAUAUUGGUCAAUGGACGCAAGUCUGAACCAGCCAUGCCGCGUGCAGGAAGACGGCUCUAUGAGUUGUAAACUGCUUUUGUACGAGGGUAAAUCCCGAUACGUGUAUCGGGUUGAAAGUAUCGUACGAAUAAGGAUCGGCUAACUCCGUGCCAGCAGCCGCGGUAAUACGGAGGAUUCAAGCGUUAUCCGGAUUUAUUGGGUUUAAAGGGUGCGUAGGCGGUUCGAUAAGUUAGAGGUGAAAUCCCGGGGCUCAACUCCGGCACUGCCUCUGAUACUGUCGG